UUUGAACAGAAAAACUGCUGUCGAAGUUUCGAUGAUUACGAUAACGGAUUCUUGAACGUUAACAAGAUUGUCACUUUAUACAUUUCCUAAUUUCAUGGAAAUUUAUCGCUGUUGACAUACAGAGGAAGUAAAACUAUAGAUUUCAAAUAAGAGUUAAUAUUAAUUUGAAAACUAACAUUCAUCGUGUAAAGCAUAACUGUGGUUGACGAUAUACUAAUUUCAGAGAUUGGAAACAUAUUUUACAUAUGUUGCAAUUACCCAUAAAUAGUGAGAGUCAUAAUUCAAGGAUGAGUCGCAGCUGCACAAGAAAGAAACCUUUUACUUUUAUUUCUAACAUUCUUAAAAAAAAGAAAAUUCUAAAAUUCGAGGAUAUUGCUUUUGAUAAAGAAAUGAAUUAUCGUGCUCGAUCAGAACCUUCAGUUUCGACAUAUAGUUGCUCUCAUAAAUGCAAACGGAAAAAAACUCCUUCUGCUUCGACACUCAGUUUAACACCCACACAGGAUAGAUUUGCAUCGGAUGAUAUUGAAGCCCACCGAUUAAGGAAUGGAUGUCACAUUAGCAGCCAACAUUGCCGCCCUACAAUCCGCCCUGGUGU